ACGGGUGAGUAAUGUCUGGGAAACUGCCUGAUGGAGGGGGAUAACUACUGGAAACGGUAGCUAAUACCGCAUGACCUCGCAAGAGCAAAGUGGGGGACCUUCGGGCCUCACGCCAUCGGAUGUGCCCAGAUGGGAUUAGCUAGUAGGUGAGGUAAUGGCUCACCUAGGCGACGAUCCCUAGCUGGUCUGAGAGGAUGACCAGCCACACUGGAACUGAGACACGGUCCAGACUCCUACGGGAGGCAGCAGUGGGGAAUAUUGCACAAUGGGCGCAAGCCUGAUGCAGCCAUGCCGCGUGUGUGAAGAAGGCCUUCGGGUUGUAAAGCACUUUCAGCGAGGAGGAAGGGUUCAGUGUUAAUAGCACUGUUCAUUGACGUUACUCGCAGAAGAAGCACCGGCUAACUCCGUGCCAGCAGCCGCGGUAAUACGGAGGGUGCAAGCGUUAAUCGGAAUUACCGGGCGUAAAGCGCACGCAGGCGGUUUGUUAAGUCAGAUGUGAAAUCCCCGAGCUUAACUUGGGAACUGCAUUUGAAACUGGCAAGCUAGAGUCUUGUAGAGGGGGGUAGAAUUCCAGGUGUAGC
rnacentral:rRNA from 1 species